rnacentral:ncRNA from 1 species
AAACUGAAGAGUUUGAUCAUGGCUCAGAUUGAACGCUGGCGGCAUGCCUAACACAUGCAAGUCGAACGGUAACGCGGGGGUAACCCUGGCGACGAGUGGCGGACGGGUGAGUAAUACAUAGGAAUCUGCCCAGUAGUGGGGAAUAACUUGGGGAAACUCAAGCUAACACCGCAUACGUCCUACGGGAGAAAACAGGGGAUCGUAAGACCUUGUGCUAUUGGAUGAGCCUAUGUCAGAUUAGCUAGUUGGUAGGGUAAUGGCCUACCAAGGCGACGAUCUGUAGCUGGUCUGAGAGGACGAUCAGCCACACUGGGACUGAGACACGGCCCAGACUCCUACGGGAGGCAGCAGUGGGGAAUAUUGGACAAUGGGGGAAACCCUGAUCCAGCAAUGCCGCGUGUGUGAAGAAGGCCUGCGGGUUGUAAAGCACUUUUAGUGGG